rnacentral:lncRNA from 1 species
AUUUCUGUAACGUGAACUACAUUCGAACUGAUUCUUUUAUGGAUAUGUAGGCAACCUCACGGUUUGAUCCCACAAAAACAAAAAUUCAAAAGUUCCCAAGCAAGAAAUUGGGGCAUAAGUUGUGGUUUUGCAAUAAAUCUGAUUCUGAUUUUAAUUUUAAUCUGUUUGAACUGUUUUGAGCCUUUUAUACCCUUUCUAUCUAACACUGUCUAAAAGCCUACAUUACGGUCCAAAGAAAGACCUUCUGAUCAGUCUUCG